GGGCGGCUCAGGCAGCGGCGAGUGCUCCGGCCUGCUCGGCCGCCAGCUGGGCAGCGGUCUUGCCGAUGAUCGACUCGUCGUCCGCUUGC
rnacentral:tRNA from 1 species